UACAGAGGUCUCAAGCGUUGUUCGGAUUCAUUGGGCGUAAAGAGCUCGUAGGCGGCUGUUCAAGUUGAACGUGAAAACUCGGAGCUCAACUCCGAGCCUGCGUUCGAUACUGGACGGCUAGAGUCUGGUAGGGGGAUCUGGAAUUCCUGGUGUAGCGGUGGAAUGCGCAGAUAUCAGGAGGAACACCGGUGGCGAGGGCGGGAUCCUGGGCCAGUACUGACGCUGAGGAGCGAAAGCGUGGGGAGCAAACAGG
rnacentral:rRNA from 1 species